CUAAGGUGGGAUAGAUGAUUGGGGUGAAGUCGUAACAAGGUAGCCGUAUCGGAAGGUGCGGCUGGAUCACCUCCUUUCUAAGGAUAAACGGAAGCACGUUUGGAGUAUUGUUUAGUUUUGAGAGGUCUUGUGGGGCCUUAGCUCAGCUGGGAGAGCGCCUGCUUUGCACGCAGGAGGUCAGCGGUUCGAUCCCGCUAGGCUCCAUUGAAUCGAAAGAUUCAAAGAUUGUCCAUUGAAAAUUGAAUAUCUAUAUCAAAUUCCACGAUUCAAGAAAUUGAAUUGUAGAUAGUAACAAGAAAUAAACCGAAACGCUGUGAUUUAAUGAGUUUAAGGUCAACAGACCAAAAUAAGGUUAAGUUAAUAA
rnacentral:misc_RNA from 1 species